rnacentral:rRNA from 1 species
CAGAUGUGAAAGACCCGGGGCGUCAACCUCGGAAUAGCAUUUGUAAACUAGGCAGACUAGAGUACUGUAGAGGGGGGUAGGAAUUUCUAGGUGUAGCGGUGAAAUAGCGUAGAGAUCUGAAGGAAUACCAGUGGCGAAGGCGGCCCCCUCGGACAAAGACUGACGCUCAGAUGCGAAAGCGUGGGGAGCAAACAGGAUUAGAUACCCCUGGUAG